GAUUCUGAGGCGGGGCCAGGGCUCCCUUUUUUUGCUGUUUAAGUCCCACAGGUAAAUAGGUUCUCUCAUAUUUUGCCAAGGGGAGUGUAAUCUGUACAAUUUGGCCAUAACUAUCAGAAUUUUAAGAUCUUAUGUCCUUUGACCUAGUAAUUUCAUUUCCAAGAAUUUCCUCUACAGAGAUAUGCACAUAUUAUUUAAAACGAAGAGGCUAUGAGGAUAGGCAAUGCAGCAAUGUUUGUAACAGCAAAGACUACAAACAAGCCACGCGUCCAAAAAGGCUCUGCUUUUUCAAACUAUGGUCCAGCCUUACAAUGAACACUGCAUCUUUUUGAAAAGACUGAGGAAGUGCUGUGUGAACUGAUGUGGAACCAUCUCCAAGAUUUACUGUGAAGUUAAAAAAGGAAAGAGCAGAACCGUGUGUAGAGUACACUACCCUUUGUACGAUCUGAGAUUGCAUAUGCCCACACCAUCACAUCCGAAAGCUGGAACAGAGGAUGCCUCUGGGAAGGGAGCUGGGUGACUGGGAACAGGGGCAGGGGAGGGACUUGCUUUUCAGAGCAUUUUUUACCUUUUAAGUUUUGUACCAAGUGCCUGUAUAUCUACUUAAAAGAUAAAAAAGGAAAAGGAGACGCUCCCCCAGUGAUUCUGAUGUUCACAAAGAUUAAGAAUCAAUGUGAGCGAGGCACUGCUGAGACCACCCAGGAGAGAGUGAACCGUCCCAUAAAAUACAAAAGACCGUUCAGCAGAGGAUGGGGACAUUUGUCCAUGGUAGGAGUGGGUGGGACUGGGGUGGCGCAAGCUAGGAAUGGAGGGCUAGUCCCAGGGCCACACAACCAGGUGAAACCGUGGUGUAUGUGAGCCUGGUUCUUACUCUGAUCUGACCCAAGAGACAGCAGUUUUCUUUCUCUGGAAUCUCACUGCCCUUUGGACUGUGAGCUGUGGUUCCAGCUCCUAGAUUCUGACCAGCAUCUUUCUUCAAAUCUGUCAGUUUUUCUGUCCCAGCCUCUCUCGCUUCCUUUCUGCCCCCUACCCUUCCCGCGUAGCCUGGCUUUGCAGAUAAGACCUUAUCCAGACAUCAGUAGUUUUGACAUCCCCUGUGACAAUGCUCCCUGGUGUCCCAUUCACAGAAUUUCCCAUUCAUUCUCUUUCUCUCUCUUUUGCUGCCUCCAAGUCUUUGCUCAUGUCUGUUCCCAGCAACCUUUCUUUCCUCCAGCACAUUCUGCCUUAAAUUAUUAGUUUCUCGAAACAGAGCCUAUCAGUCUUCGCAGCACUACCUUUCUUAUCUCAUCGCUCAUCCCAAAGCUUCUUUUCCUCCCACCACACCCGCCUCGCUUUCUGCAGGUCUCUUAGACCCCAUCCUGGUGUGCAUAGGGCACAAGUCUCUCUCAGGGCACAUAUUCACAGAUAUGAUGUCCACGUUCACAGUUAACUGUGGCUUCUGCCAUCCAGACGGGCUUACCCUGAAUAAAUACAUAUUUCUAGGAUGUGGAAAAUAUGCAGGACUUAAAUGCACAGGCUCUAGAUUCAAUCUCCCCAUGAUUAAAUUCUUUCUCUGCUAGCUGCACGAUUAGACGUGUGACCUUGAGAAAAUUACUUAACUUCUCUGGGCCUCAUUUUUCUCAUCUGUAAAAUGACAGCAUUUGCCCCAUAGGAGGGUAAAAGAAGAAGGUGUAAAUAAAGUGCUGACUGUAGGGCCUGGCCCAUAUCAAGCUCUCCCAAAACAAUGGCUAUUUUGUUAUUUUUACAACAACAAGUGAUUUGGCUUUAGAACUGUUUUCUAAACAAUGUUCACUUGUUUUAUACCUGGACGCUAAACCUAUUAUAUGAACCGAAUGUAUGGAGACCAUAUCUUUUUAACCAACAUGUGUAUUUCUGGCAGAUUCGAUAUACGUCAUCUCAUCUGGUCCUUAAAACAGCUGGGUCCCAGGUGAGGUACGUGGUUUCACUUCACCAUUCCUAUUGUACAGAGCUGUGGGCACAUUAAAUAGCUUCUCCAAAGUCACCGCCAAUUCUAGCCUAUAGAUCUCCUACCUCUUUCCAUUAAACCACAUAGAUCAGGCACUGGCAAACCUUUUCUGUAAAGAACCGGAUAGUAAAUAGUUCACAUUUGUGGACCACAUACCGUCUCUGUCUCAUACCCUGCUUUUCAGUUAGUUUGUUUGUUCUUAAACAACCCUUUAAAAAUAUAAAUUCUUAGCAAUAGGCAGGUACAGAAACAGACCAUAGGCCACCUUUGGCUCGACAGUUGUAGUUUAUCAAGCUCUGAUAUAGUUUAUGCUGAUAAAUCAAUAUAAACCUAAUGAAAUGGAUAUACUUAAGAAACCUUACCCUUUGUUAACAAUAAUUGUUAAUAUUUGUUAAAUGUUUACUAUGUGUCAAAUACUGUUCCAAGUGUUUUACAUGUAUUAACUUAUCCUCUCAGCCACCCUAUUUGUAGGUACUGUCGUCAGCCCCGUUUUAGGAAUGGGAAAACUGAACACAGGGAGGGUAAGUAACUUUCCCAACGCCGCAGGGCCAGUAAGUAGCCUAGCUAGUGUUCAGAUCCAAGCAGUUCAGCACCAGAGCCUGGGCACUGAACCCACCUGAUUGUCAGCUGGGGGCACUGACUUGUACAGCGAUGUGGGGGAGGGGAGAAAGGGGAUGGCAGGAGCUGAGUAAACCCUAGAAGCUCCUGGAAUAGAUAGGUUUCAGAACCAUUCACCCUGAAGGAGGCGUGGAUACAUGCCACCUGUGUUUUAUGAAGAAUGGCCAGGCUGGAAACCUGUGAUGGCUUUCCUUCAUGCCACAACAAUAGAGGAUGUGCAUGAGACUGCAGAGGCAUCUUGAUUUGAGAAAAGCACUUGAUUGGAUCUCAUUAAAUUUUAAUCAUAAACUGAACUCAAAGUAAAUUGAAAACUUGUUGACAGAGCACAAACAAAGGGUGAGGAUAACUGGCGAUGCAUCUAGAGAGGGGAUAUCUUCCAGGGGACGCCUCUGAGGCAAGGAUGGAUGGGAUUUAAUGAAGGUGUUAUGUCCCUGGAAGAAGACAAAUAGCAGAGCAAGAAACAGAGGAAGGGCAGGAGUGAGCAGCCUGAGUAAGUAAUAAACCACAUUACCAGCUCCUAAAUGAUCAAGGCUUGCUGUUACCAACUGCUUGGAUUUUUUUAAAAAAGCAUUCUUUGGGUCAACAAUAGGGUUGAAGGGUCCUAGAGACACACAGCAUGAAUAUUUCAGGUGGACAUAUUAAUAAAUAUAUAAAUUUACAGCUAGGAAGAUCCUCAGAUGCACUUUGGACCAGAUCCUUGCAGUCACAGAUUCUCAAGGUCUUACUUCAUUCUCCAGGGAGUAAUUUUUUUCAUAACUGUCCAAAAAUUUGGGAUUUAAAAAAAAUCUUUAAACUCAUUAAUGUUCUUUGUUUACUGCCCCAACGCAUGCAAACUCUCCCAACAUUGGUUUGCUUAGUGGAAGUUGGUUUUGAGUGAACUGUGUGGCUCAGGUUCAAAUUCCAGUGAGGAAAUAUUUCCAAGUUUACUUGCAGAAUUUCCCAGACAGAGAAGUUCUUCCAUUUGGUUUGCCAGAGGAUUGGAAGCAGUGGUGAGCCCUGGAGACAAGGGAACAUUUACUGGCCCUUGUUCAUACCCUGCACAGUACAGCUCACAGCAGGCUGAAGGCGGUGCAGCGUGACCCGACCUGAUGUGCGGAAGUUUGCUCUGCAACUCCUCUGAGCUGCUCAACUCAAUGACGGGGCUAAUGGGAAAGGACUGACUCCACCACGCUGGAAGCUGGUAAAAACGUUUAGAGAACAACCUCAAACCAGCCCAUGGGUUCUCUUGUUUGUUUGUUUUGUUUCAGAUAAGGUUUCUCUAAACACACGUUCGUGAUUCUUAAUUCAGUCCAGACCCCAGAGUGAGGAAAAGAAGGGGCAGAAAGGAAAAAAAAUCGGCAGAGGGAGGAGAAGGGAUAGAAAGGAAGAAAGGAAAAUGGAAGAGAAGAAACGAGAGUGGGAAACCUUGAAGGAAAAGUUUAAAAAACUCGUCCUUUAUUGGUGGAGGAGAGAGGCUUGUUUAAACUGUGAUUUUUACGUAUUACAGUUGGAAGGGAAGGGAAAGAAUCAAUGCAGGCAAAAGGCAAAAGUGUUACAGGUAAGCUGCUGAACUGGGAAGAAUCUGGGCAGACAGCACAGAGGAGGAGGAAGGGAAAUCGGAGGUGGGAGGGAGACCUGGGACCCCGCCUGGGAGAGGAAGGAGGAAAAACACUGGAACCAUGAGCGCAGGAAAACAGUGAGGUGGGGAAGGGCCAGGUUUCCAUUAGCGCUCAGGGAGCUGCCCAGACCCCAGCCAGCCUGCGUCUUCAGGAUGAAAGAAGGGGGUCAAGCAGGCCGGGGGCUCCAGUCAGUCCUGAAUAGCUUGAUCUCAGCUGCUUUACCAGGGAACCACGCCAAACUGGCUCAGCUCUGCGAAUCACGAGGGGAUGAAAGCCCACCUUCCUCCCUCAGCCAAUUUACAACUUCUGGUCCCCAGGAAGGUUUGUGUACACAUCUGUACACAUGCGCGCACACACACACACACACACACACACACACACACACACACACACAGAGGCACAGGGUGAGCUUAACACUCAGGCAUCGAAGCACAUGUGGGCGAGUAGGAGGCCUGCUGGGCAAGAGACGCAAAGAAUGUCAAAUGUCCGAGGGAGAAGGACAGCCUGGGUUUCAGGAACUAAAAAUAUCUCGGUGACAAUGCACUAGGAGAAACAGGAGAGGCCCAAAGGGAGAGCUUCUUGAUUUUAAUCCUCAGAUGCUUUCUCACGGAAGGCCUGCAGGGUUGUUUUGAUAAGGAACUGUGAUCAAACAUUAGGGGUCAUUUCGUUGGAUCUGAAAGGAACUUAAAGUUUAAUAUGGCUCGUCUGUGCUCUUUUUUGUUUUCCCUGCAGCAGUUGCCCGCAAUGCAUAUGUGUUUUGAAAGGCUAAUCUAAAUUUUCCUGUAGCAGAAAAAUGAUUAGAAUUCAGGAUAUUUCUGAGAUUUCGAUUCUUCUAAACGUAGAUUUAAUUUAGACAAACUACCCGCCUAAUCGAUCUUUCUGAGUGCCUGCAACUAUGAUUCUGAAUUCGUGCAACUAUGACUGCCUUCUUCUCUUAUUUUCAGAGCAUUUGAAAAUCCCUAACACCUUAAUCUUGAGAGAAGCAGGCUUACAUAUUUUCCAUCUUUGCACCCUCCCAAAAGCCAAGAAUGACACCUAAAUUCCAGGCAGCCUCCUGCAGAGCCACGUGGCAGCCCAGCACACCACACCGCCGCUGCUCUCAGCCUCUUACCCAGGCUAUGGCUUCACCUGUUGCCUCGAGAGCAGAUGAAUCUCUGGACAGAGGUGACCCAAUCUGAUCAUCAAAGUCAGGGUUCUGAUACCCACGGUGGCCUUACUGAGGCGACAGACCGGUAUGAGGUCCUGUCUCCGUGUGAGGCAUCUCCAUCUGAGCAAGUUCACAUUCCCAGGCCAGUCCCUGCUCUGCAUCGCCCCGGAGUGACUCGUUCGGGGAAUGUUCCUCAUGGUAGUGGGAAGUUAGAUCUAAACUAAGCUGCCCCAGUGUCACCCAGCUCCCUGAAAGCCACAGAGUUGUUUCACAGGCUGUGCAUUUUGCCGAAACUUGGCUCCGAGAGGGCGAGUCUCUGUUUCUGGCCUGCUAGAACAUUCACUAAUAUUCUGCCCACAUAUGAUGCUGGAGCUUCACCUCCAGUGGCUCUGGUUCUUCUGCUCCAGGGCAUGGUAUUCUCGGGAUAACCUGGAAAGCCCCAAGUCUUCCCUUUGUCUGCAAUUGUCUUUUCCUUUAAUUUCUACUCCAAGUGGCUGCAGUCCCCGCCUCAUUUCCCGUAGGAUUUCUGACGUGCCCCACACUCAGUUCCUGCUUCCACUCAGCAUGGGUGCAGCCCAUCUCCCCCAACUUUGGAGAGUCCCUCUCCCACCUCUCUGUCCCUCCCAUUUGCUCGCAGGGCCUUGCACAUAAGAGAUUUUAGCUGAAGGUUUAGGGACAAUGGAGGGGAAUUACAGCCCAGGGCAGACCAAGUAAGCAAUUUCUCAAUAAAAUCAACUAUGAGGCAUGCUAGCUUCAUUGGCAAAGAUCUCCUUGGUCAUCUUUCACCUUAGGACCCCGGACCCUGGUGGUGCAGAGCUUGGUCCCCUCUCUACAGAGACUUCUCUCCGUUCUUUCAGGGUCUUAGACCCCUGGCUCAGCACCACCCAGGGAAGACAAUAUUCUUGCAACUUUAUCAGGCCAAUACCGUCUAGUUCCUUUGUCUGGGUGGUAACCUUUCUCCUGAUCACUGAAAGGGAUCUCACCUUUCACAGCCAACCAUGUCCUAUCAAGGUCAUUCCAUUAACAGCCAGCUACUACGGAGAUCAGUUCUAUUCCCUAAACGACAAAAGAGAUCAUUAUUAGGAAACAGUCUGGUGAUUCCUCAAAAAGUUAAACAUAGACUUACUAUGUGAUCCAGCAAUUCUACAUCGGGGUAUAUACCCAGAAGAACUGAAAGCAGGGACUUGAACAGAUAUUUGUUCACCCAUGUUCAUUGUAGCACUAUUCAUAGCGGUCAAAAGGUGAAAAGAGCCCAAAUGUCCUCCAUGGAUGAAUGGAUACACAAAACGUGGUGCAGACAUAAAACAGAAUAUUAUUCAGCCUUAAACAGGAAUGAAGUACGAUACACGUUACAACACAAAUGAACCUUGGAAACAUUAUGCUAAGUGAAAUAAGCCAGACAUAAAAGAACAAGUAUUACAUGAUUCCACUUAUAUGAGAUGCCUAGAGUACUCAAAUGUAUAGGGAUAGAAAGUAGAAUAGAGGUUACCAGGGGCUGGGAGAGGGGAGAAUGAGGAACUCCUGUUGAAUGGGUGCAGAGUUUCUGUUUGGGAUGAUGAAAAAAUUCUGGAAACUGGUAGUGGUGAUGGUUGCAGAACACUGUGAAUGUACUUAAUGCUACCGAACUGGAAAUGGUUAAAAUGAUAAAUUUUAUGUCAUGUAUAUUUUACUACAAUAAAAAAACCCACCAAAUUAGAAGCCUUGGCUCUUUCAU